GAACAAUGUGAAUGGGAGGAUGUGGAUCUUUUCCACCUCCUUCACAUAUAACCCCUCGGUGCUGGGUCCCAAAGCCCACGAGUUGCUGAAUGGCAGCUUGAGCCUGACCAUACACUUAGGAAUAAUACCUGCCUUUAAGGACUUCCUGUUGGCGCUGCGCCCAGCCGUGUAGCCAGGCAACAGUCUGAUGAGGAAGCUGUGGGAGGAGUGCAGGGAUACAGGUGGUCUGGAUUAGGGGCUUCCAUCCAAAGUGCCAGAGAAGGGGCUUGGCAUCGCACAGGGCUGGAGAACAUGACCACUGCCCACCUGUCUGCCUUCAAACUUCCUGAUCUAACUGCCACUUACCAAGCCUACCUGGCAGCCAAAGCCCUGUGGGUUGCCUAUCAGAACUUGAUGUCCUGCUCUGAGAGAGAGGGACCAUUCCUGGGAGGCACGUAUGCCAAUGCAUGGGAAGCCAGGCUUUCUCAGGUGAGUGGCCAAGAAGCCUUUCCCAGUCCCUGUCCAUUCCAGCUUUCUGUGAGCUUUAGACUAGCAGAGAGGCAGUGUGGCCUAAUGAAAGGAGCAUCAAAUUUAGAACAAAAGUGAUAUGGGCUCAAAUCUCAAUAUGGGAUUUCUCUGCGGCCUAGUCACUUACCUUUCCUGAGCUUCAGUUCUCUCCUAUGUAGAUUGAGUAUAAUAAUAUAUACGUGGUAGGUUGUUAUGAAAAUAAGAGAUCAUGCAUACAAAUGCUGGCUGGUGAUUAAUGCAUGUUAUGGGCUACAGCUUUUCUCCAGGUGGUGUGACGCUGCUGCUAAUAAUGGUGAUGACAUCAAAACUGCCAAGGGCCUUAGAAAUCUGCUGGUCCAGCACGAAGCAGGGAGAUCACCAAAAAGGGGAGGCAGAGCUGGAAGAGAACACAGCUGUCCUGCCAUCCAGGUGCUCCAUUAUGCCUGAAAGGUUAACUUCACCACCAAAGCCCAAGAAGAGGUUUUCUUCGCCAAAGAUGGGGAAGUGCUGACAACGUUUGACAUUAAAAACAUCUAUGUUCUCCCAGACCUGUCAGGACAGACAGCCAUUGUUGGACACUUUGACUUCAGAGCACCUUCUGGAAAAGAGCUUCUGUUGGAUGACAGCGCAAUUGUCUGGGCAGAAGGACCCUUAAAGAUUAGAGCUGAGAGAACCCUAAGAACCAAGACCACACAGCACCUCUCACAUCCCAAGCUCCAGGAGUAUUUGUCAUAUUGAACUCACUUAGGAUACUGGGUCAAAAAGGGGUGGAUUAUUGACUUACACAACUUUGAGGCUGUUCAGUAAAUAAAACCUUCCAAACUCCCUGGCUCCCAAAAUUAGGGACCUUGCUAAAGGCAAAGAUAACUAAUGAGCAAAUGGGAAAACAAAUUAGAUACAAUUGUCAAUUCAAGUUUACCCUGAGAUGGUCAACUCCAGAUACCUAGAGAUACUACUGAUUUAGCCUUGCAGACUUAUGUCAAGAAAUAGGCAAUCGAUGCUGAGCUUUUUUAAGCAGUGGAAAAUAACCCAUGGAAUCCCAUUAGUCCUUUCCCAGACCCCUAAGUAUCUAAGGUCACCAGAGGGAGAAAUUCUUUUUUUUUCUUUUUUUUUAAGAUGGAGUUUCCCUCUUGUUGCCCAGGCUGGAAUGCAAUGGCGUGAUCUCAGCUCACUGCAACCUCUGCCUCCCAGGUUCAAGUGAUUCUCCUGCCUCAGCCUCCAGAGUAGCUGGGAUUACAUGCACCCACUACCACGCCCAGCUAACUUUUUGUAUUUUUAGUAGAGACGGGGUUUCACCAUGUUGGCCAGGUCGGUCUCAAACUCCUGACCUCAGACGAUCCACCCGCCUCAGCCUCCCAAAGUGCUGGAAUUACAGGUGUGAGCCACCACGAUCAGCUGAGAAAUUCUAAUUUAAGUGCAGUUACAUCUCAACUAUCAUCAUGCCUCCUGCAGUUUCCUUUAACUUGUGUAGGCAGGGUUAAACACUCCCUUCACUGAGCAACAAUAGCAUUUUUCACAUACCUCUAUGAUAAGAGUAAGAAAAUGACUAUAACUGGUAUAAUAUGUUCUAUAAUACGUUCUAUCUCUUUUCUCCGUGAUUUCAAACUUGUUCCCACUGGUCUCACCUUAGUCAGGCAUAUGGUUUUUUAUUCCCAUGACUAUCACACCUCAAUGUCCAAAUCAUCCCACCCUGAGAGGAGGGAACAAAGUUGCUUAUGAACAAGGAAGCAGAAUAGAGUUCCAGGGAAGAAAUUAGCAUUGUCGCCCCACAGGCAAGGGGCUGACCCCACCUGUUGAGAUCUUCACUCAGUACUGUUUCAGGUAUCUCGCAGCCCAGGUACUUAUCUUCUCUCUUGCUUCUCCUUCCUCAGACCACAGAAUCCAUGCAUCAGACCUUUCUAAGGAAAUUCAUUCUGCAAGCAUGAUCUGAAUCUCAGUUGCUCCCAACUUGGAGUGAUUUUGCCUCUCAUGGGACAAUGACAAUGUAUGGAGACAGUUUUGGUUGUCACAACUUGAGGGAGUGCUGCUGGCAUCCAGUGGGGCAGGGGCCAAGGUUGCUGCUAAAUGCCCUAAGAUGCACAGGACAGUUCUCCAUAACAAAGAAUUAUCCAGCCCCUGUGUCAGUAGUGCUGAGGUUUAGACACCCUGGACUCAAGGAACCCUAGAGUGGUGCUGAGGCUUAGGUAGUGUUUGUAGUCUUUGUUUCUGAUUCACUGUGGAUGACCCAGUUCUGUUGGGGCUAGGGGAAAAUUAGUCCCUUAAAUAUAAACAAAGGGAUUUGAUGAGCCUAGAGUGAAAGACAGACUCUUCAGUUAACACUUCGGAAUAUGAUCCCAGCUCACUAGCACUUGUCAUGCACUCAUGAUUCUGGUCACUAUGAUAUGGACUUCACUUACAUUGUCUUAUUUAAUCCCAACACCACCUUCAAAGCACAUAUCAUUAUGGCCAGGCGUGGUGGCUCACGUCUGUGAUCUCAGCACUUUUGGAGGCCAAGACAGAUGGAUCAUUUGAGGUCAGGAGUUCGAGACCAGCCUGGCCAAUAUGGUGAAACCCUGUCUCUACUAAAAAUACAAAAAUUGGCCCGGCGGUAGUGGCACGCAUCUGUAAUCCCAGCUACUUGGGAGGCUGAGGCAGGAGAAUCGCUUGAACCCGGGAGGCGGAGGUUGCAGUGAGCCAAGAUUGUGCCACUGAACUCCAGCCUGGGUGACAGAGUGAGGUCCUGUCUCAAAAAAACAAACAAACAAAAAAUACAUAUUAUUACUACAACUUGAGUAUCCCUUAUCCGAAUUGCUUGGGACCAGAAGUGUUUUGGAUUUCAGAUUUUUUCAGAUUUUGAAAUAUUUGCAUAUGCAUAAGGAAAUAUCUUGGGGAUAGGAUCCAAGUCUAAAUAUGAAAUUCAUUUAUGUUUCAUAUACCACUUAUACACAUAGUCUGAAGGUAAUUUUUUACAAUAUUUUUAACUAUAUCAUGCAUGAAACAAAGUUUGUUUAUGUCAAGUCAGGUGUGGAAUUUUCCACUUGAGGCAUCAUGUUGGCACUCAAAAAGUUUUGGAUUUUGGAGCAUUCCAGAUUUCAGAUUUUCAAAUUAGGGAUGCCCCAUCUAUAUCUCCAUUUUAUUGAAGAGGAAUCUGAAGCUUAGAGAUGUUAAGCCCAAGGCACGCAAACCAUAAAGGGCAGAACCAGAAUUCCAACCAUCAAGAUGUCUUGUUUUCCCACCACACUCGAAAUCCGGAAGAGCUUAUUCUUACCUAUCACUGUUUCCCUAACACCCUGUACAGUACCUGAUAUACGGAACACAUUUUUAAUUAUCUGAGCAAGAAAUGGAGAAAGAGGAAAAUGAAAGAGAGUAGAAAAGGAAAACGUGAUAAAGAGGGGUUUAAUAAAGGAAGGAGUAAGAGAAAGAAAGAGAGAGAGGGACCUAGUAAGUGAAAACGAUGAGGCUUAUUCCUCCACGACCUGACUGCACAGAUGUCGCUCAAUUCCCCCUGCAGUCUCCCCAGCACUCUCUCCCCUCCACUCUCCCACCUCUUGUGUGUAGGUCCCUUCCUCUGUCUGCAACGAAAAACGUCCUGUGGAAACCAGGAAGUCAACCCUAUUUGAGAAGUCAAAAUGCUGCUACAAAAGCCUUCCCUGACCCAGAAGAGAAAUCGCAAUGUCACCAGGUAAGGAGGGAGGCUGGUUCUUGGUCAGAGGGUGGCCAGCCAUCAGCCAGAGUAGACUUCAGAUGAAAGCUGUGUCCACAUCAAGGAAAUUCCUUCAAUGGAAAAGUCCAGGGAAGUCGAGACCAAAAAGAAGAUGUCAAUGUGACCUUCCUAGAUGCUACAUUAAAGCCAUUUGAGGCUAUUAAAUUCAUUCUUUCUUUUAUCAACCAUGAGUUUGUUCAAAUCCUGUACUUAGUUUAACAUUUGCCAUAUGGUAGGCAUUUCAUAAAUGUUUAAAAAGAAUUACCCUAAUGACAUAAUCUUUAUUUUACUAAGAUGUCAUUCAUUCAACAGAUAUCAACUGGCACCAACCAUAUACAACCACUGUGCUGGGUGCAAGGGUACCAACAACAAAUAAGCCAUGGUCCUGGACCCACAGAGCUCAGGAUAUAUUAAAAGAGAAUGAUACUGGACCCCUACACCUAGCACAGCUCAUCUCUCAAUAAAGAAACUAGACUAUAAAGUGAAGUCAAUACUGUAAUAAAUAAAUAAAUAUUCAAGCAUCGAGCUGUGAAAGCACGUUGGAACAAUUAAUUCUAACAAAUAGGCAGGGAGACUUGGCAAUGCAAGGGGUGGCAUGUGACACAGGCCUUAAACAACAAGCAAGGUUUCAAAGGCAAUGAAGCAUAAUAAGGAUAUUCCAGGCCAAGGAGGAAGUUAUUAUAGUAAAGGCAUGAAAGCAAUAAGGAGCUGAGAGUGGUUUCAGCAUCAAUUGUGAUGCAAGAUAUAGGAAGCAGGUGGUCAGAUCAUAGAGGACUUUACCUGCUGGACUCUGGAGCAUGGACUCUAUUCUAUAGAAAAUGGGGAGGAGCCUCUGAACUACUUCAGUAUAAAAGCAAUGUGUAUUUCAGUGUGUGUCUUGGGGAAAUGAAUAGACAAAUAGACAAAGGAGGGAGAUUGGAGCAGGAAGACCAGGUUCAGAAUCCAGGUAAUUGUUGAAGCCACAGGUUUGGAUGAAGUCUCUUCAAAACUCUCCCUGGGAAAGUAGAGACUUUGGAAAUACCUUUUGCCCUUUUGAAGAGAAAGUUUCCACCGAAUGAAGCUGAGAAGGAACCACCAGGUGCUGAAGAGAGGAUGACACAAAUGAGAAAUCCUUGAACUUAGACACUAGGAAGACAUGGAAUCAAAGUAUCUAGGACCCUACAAAUAUAUCCAAAUCAAGGAAAGAGAUCAAAUUGUCCCUAUUUGCAGACGACAU
rnacentral:lncRNA from 1 species